CUUCACUCCCUCACACUUCAACUCUCGGUCACCACCAAAAAUCCCUCUCUUCCAAUUUUGCUCCAAAAGAUCGCCAUAGAUUAAUCACCAAAGCUUCCAAGUUCACUUCAAGAUCAAAUCCUCCACCAAAUCAACAUAAACACCUUUCAAUUCUUGAAGAUUUCAAGAGGACCGUGGGGUUUGGUUUGAAGAGUGAGAAAGGAAAACUUUGAUCUUUGUUUAAUCUUGGGGUCCGGGCGACAGGAAAUGAAGCUGAAGAAGAAGCGACUCCACGCUAGCUUAAGAACGUUUGAGGUUGAGCAGCUGAUGGAAUGGAAUGGCGUUGAGCGGGUGUUCCUUUGACAUUUCAAGAAAUGUAACCUUGAGUAUACAUCUUCAUAUGUAUAUCUCACACGUUUUCCGCUGCAAAACACUUUGAUUAAGAUAGCUCUAUGUUAUGAAGAUGUGACACGUGUUAUUGGGUAACCCACCUUAAUCAGUUCUCCUUUAUGUGUAUGUUUUAUAAGUAUCCAAAUAAUCAUAUAUGAUCAUAGCAUUUUAUUUAUGAGUGACAUUUUCAUAUACUUUAAUGUUAAGUAAUUGUCCAUUUCCAUUUCUUUUUGUUCACCCCAAGUCAUAACCCCGGUUAACCCGUCAUUGGGAUAGUGGGUUGUGACAGAGUGGUAUCAGAGCAGUUCGUUUGCUCUGGCCCUAGAAACCUUAUUCUAAAAAGCCAAGUCUAGUUUGAUUCACUAGACAUACGUGGGUUAAUACGACACCGCUCAACACUCCAUUGCA